UACGUAGGGUGCGAGCGUUAAUCGGAAUUACUGGGCGUAAAGCGUGCGCAGGCGGUGAUGUAAGACAGAUGUGAAAUCCCCGGGCUCAACCUGGGAACUGCAUUUGUGACUGCAUCGCUGGAGUGCGGCAGAGGGGGAUGGAAUUCCGCGUGUAGCAGUGAAAUGCGUAGAUAUGCGGAGGAACACCGAUGGCGAAGGCAAUCCCCUGGGUCUGCACUGACGCUCAUGCACGAAAGCGUGGGGAGCAAACAGG
rnacentral:rRNA from 1 species